UUAGGCGCAGAUAUGGCGCGGGGAUUGACUGUUAAUCAAUUGGUCGUAGGUUCGAUCCCUACCGCCGGAGCCA
rnacentral:tRNA from 1 species